rnacentral:rRNA from 1 species
CACUCCUGCGGGAGGCAGCAGUGGGGAAUUUUGGACAAUGGGCGAAAGCCUGAUCCAGCCAUGCCGCGUGCAGGAUGAAGGCCUUCGGGUUGUAAACUGCUUUUGUACGGAACGAAACGGCCUUUUCUAAUAAAGAGGGCUAAUGACGGUACCGUAAGAAUAAGCACCGGCUAACUACGUGCCAGCAGCCGCGGUAAUACGUAGGGUGCAAGCGUUAAUCGGAAUUACUGGGCGUAAAGCGUGCGCAGGCGGUUAUGUAAGACAGUUGUGAAAUCCCCGGGCUCAACCUGGGAACUGCAUCUGUGACUGCAUAGCUAGAGUACGGUAGAGGGGGAUGGAAUUCCGCGUGUAGCAGUGAAAUGCGUAGAUAUGCGGAGGAACACCGAUGGCGAAGGCAAUCCCCUGGACCUGUACUGACGCUCAUGCACGAAAGCGUGGGGAGCAAACAGGAUUAGAAACCCCAGUAGUCCCAUGA